GACGAACGCUGGCGGCGUGCUUAACACAUGCAAGUCGAACGGAAAGGCCCUGCUCUUGUGGGGUGCUCGAGUGGCGAACGGGUGAGUAACACGUGAGUAACCUGCCCUUGACUUUGGGAUAACUCCAGGAAACUGGGGCUAAUACCGGAUAGGAGCUCCUGCUGCAUGGUGGGGGAUGGAAAGUUUCGGCGGUUGGGGAUGGACUCGCGGCUUAUCAGCUUGUUGGUGGGGUAGUGGAUUACCAAGGCUUUGACGGAUAGCCGGCCUGAGAGGGUGACCGGCGACAUUGGUACUGAGAUACGGCCCAGUAUGCAACGGGAGGCAGCAGUGGGGAGUAUGACACAAUAGGCGGAAGCCUGAUAUAGCAGCGCCGCGAGCGGGAAGACGGCCUACGGGUUAUAAACCGCUUUGGCCUGUAACGAGGCGUGAGUGACGGUACUGAAUAAAGAAGCACCGGCUAACUACGUG
rnacentral:rRNA from 1 species